AACACCACAGCACCUUCACCCUCCACUUUCCUCCUCUGCCGUGACCGAGAGUGAAGUGAGAAAGGGAGAGAGAGCCGAGCCUUCUACUUCAUCACCUCCUGACCGCAUGCUAGAAAUAAAAGUGAGAGACCUGCUGCUUUCCCUCAUCUCAUCCGCCAGCCUGUAUAAGAGAAGGAGAGGAAACGGGCUGCACUUCGAACCAUCCGAGAGAAGGAAAAAUUGACAGCACCUUGUCGCGUGUAUAAGCUGCAACCUGAGGCAAUCGAGGAGAUCUCCAAGAGGAACUCGGAGCGGACACCUAAAACGCUUGUUUGAGACCUAUCGCGCUUGUUUGACUAGGGUUUGAGACCAAGGGUGC